UGCCAGCGGCGGACUUCAAAUCUGUCGCUGGCCCUU
rnacentral:tRNA from 15 species